CCCAGCUGUAGGCAGCUGCCUAGGUUUCCUUGUACCUAGGCAAGUGUUACACGGCUGGGAGAACAGCAGCCAAUAGCAAGUUGGCAUUCUGGGCCUGGUUCAUGUCAACUCUUGUUGUUAACUAUACCAGGAUGUCAGCAUAGUUACUUA
rnacentral:snoRNA from 14 species